GCGCGGUUAGCUCAGCGGUAGAGCACUACACUGACACUGUAGGGGUCGGCAGUUCAAACCUGCCACCGCGCACCA
rnacentral:tRNA from 2 species